UACGGAGGGUGCAAGCGUUAUCCGGAUUCACUGGGUUUAAAGGGUGCGUAGGUGGGCAGGUAAGUCAGUGGUGAAAUCUCCGGGCUUAACCCGGAACUGCCGUUGAUACUAUUUGUCUUGAAUAUAGUGGAGGUGAGCGGAAUAUGUCAUGUAGCGGUGAAAUGCUUAGAUAUGACAUAGAAUACCAAUUGCGAAGGCAGCUGGCUACACGAAUAUUGACACUCAGGCACGA
rnacentral:rRNA from 1 species